GACGAACGCUGGCGGCGUGCUUAACACAUGCAAGUCGAACGAUGAAGCCCAGCUUGCUGGGUGGAUUAGUGGCGAACGGGUGAGUAACACGUGAGUAACCUGCCCUUGACUCUGGGAUAAGCGUUGGAAACGACGUCUAAUACCGGAUACGAGCUUCCACCGCAUGGUGAGUUGCUGGAAAGAAUUUUGGUCAAGGAUGGACUCGCGGCCUAUCAGCUUGUUGGUGAGGUAAUGGCUCACCAAGGCGACGACGGGUAGCCGGCCUGAGAGGGUGACCGGCCACACUGGGACUGAGACACGGCCCAGACUCCUACGGGAGGCAGCAGUGGGGAAUAUUGCACAAUGGGCGAAAGCCUGAUGCAGCAACGCCGCGUGAGGGACGACGGCCUUCGGGUUGUAAACCUCUUUUAGCAGGGAAGAAGCGAAAGUGACGGUACCUGCAGAAAAAGCACCGGCUAACUACGUGCCAGCAGCCGCGGUAAUACGUAGGGUGCAAGCGUUGUCCGGAAUUAUUGGGCGUAAAGAGCUCGUAGGCGGUUUGUCGCGUCUGCUGUGAAAUCCCGAGGCUCAACCUCGGGUCUGCAGUGGGUACGGGCAGACUAGAGUGCGGUAGGGGAGAUUGGAAUUCCUGGUGUAGCGGUGGAAUGCGCAGAUAUCAGGAGGAACACCGAUGGCGAAGGCAGAUCUCUGGGCCGCUACUGACGCUGAGGAGCGAAAGGGUGGGGAGCAAACAGGCUUAGAUACCCUGGUAGUCCACCCCGUAAACGUUGGGCGCUAGAUGUGGGGACCAUUCCACGGUUUCCGUGUCGUAGCUAACGCAUUAAGCGCCCCGCCUGGGGAGUACGGCCGCAAGGCUAAAACUCAAAGGAAUUGACGGGGGCCCGCACAAGCGGCGGAGCAUGCGGAUUAAUUCGAUGCAACGCGAAGAACCUUACCAAGGCUUGACAUAUACGAGAACGGGCCAGAAAUGGUCAACUCUUUGGACACUCGUAAACAGGUGGUGCAUGGUUGUCGUCAGCUCGUGUCGUGAGAUGUUGGGUUAAGUCCCGCAACGAGCGCAACCCUCGUUCUAUGUUGCCAGCACGUAAUGGUGGGAACUCAUGGGAUACUGCCGGGGUCAACUCGGAGGAAGGUGGGGACGACGUCAAAUCAUCAUGCCCCUUAUGUCUUGGGCUUCACGCAUGCUACAAUGGCCAGUACAAAGGGCUGCAAUACCGUAAGGUGGAGCGAAUCCCAAAAAGCUGGUCCCAGUUCGGAUUGAGGUCUGCAACUCGACCUCAUGAAGUCGGAGUCGCUAGUAAUCGCAGAUCAGCAACGCUGCGGUGAAUACGUUCCCGGGCCU
rnacentral:rRNA from 1 species